AUUGAACGCUGGCGGCAUGCCUUACACAUGCAAGUCGAACGGCAGCACGGGUGCUUGCACCUGGUGGCGAGUGGCGCACGGGUGAGUAAUACAUCGGAACAUGUCCUGUAGUGGGGGAUAGCCCGGCGAAAGCCGGAUUAAUACCGCAUACGAUCUACGGAUGAAAGCGGGGGACCUUCGGGCCUCGCGCUUUAGGGUUGGCCGAUGGCUGAUUAGCUAGUUGGUGGGGUAAAGGCCUACCAAGGCGACGAUCAGUAGCUGGUCUGAGAGGACGACCAGCCACACUGGGACUGAGACACGGCCCAGACUCCUACGGGAGGCAGCAGUGGGGAAUUUUGGACAAUGGGCGAAAGCCUGAUCCAGCAAUGCCGCGUGUGUGAAGAAGGCCUUCGGGUUGUAAAGCACUUUUGUCCGGAAAGAAAACCUUGGCCCUAAUACGGUCGGGGGAUGACGGUACCGGAAGAAUAAGCACCGGCUAACUACGUG
rnacentral:rRNA from 1 species